GAAAAGUUUGACUCUAGCUUAGAGGUUGAUUAAUUUGUUAAUCUAUAUGGGUUUUAGUUAAUUAUUUUUAUUCCAGUAGAAAGUUUUAAUUAUAUUAUCUGUUUUGAAUUAGGAAUCAAAUUUAAUGUGGAUUAAUAUUGUGCCAGCAUUCGCGGUUAGACAAUUCACUUGAGUCAAUUUUUUAUUUUUAUUAAUUUCUAUUGUUGUGAUUUAUAAUUAUUUUGCUUAGGUGGAAUUUGCAUUAAUUAUUAAGUUCUAUGAUAACUUUAUUAAGAAAUUAUAGUAUUAGACUAGGAUUAGAUACCCUAUUAUUUUUAAUGUAAAUUUAAAAGAAUGGUAGAAGUUAUGUUCUUUAAAGCUCAAAGAGUUUGGCGGUAAAAUAUCUAUUCAGAGGAACCUGUAAGUUAAUUGAUAAACCACGAUAGUUUGUAUUUCAUUUAUAUUUGUAUACCGCUAUAAUAAGGAAUGUAUUUAAAGAUUAUUUUCUUUUUUUUUACUAGAAUUUAUGUUAGGUCAAGGUGCAGUUUUAAUGAAGUUCUUAUGGGUUACUUUUGUUUUAAGUUUUAUAAGGAUUUUAUUGAUUUAAUAUCAUGAUUUAGGAUUUGACAGUAAAUUUAUCUAAUUAGAUCUUUUGAAUUUGCUCUAUUUUAUGCACAUAUCGCCCGUCAUUCCUAAUAAAUUAGGACAAGUCGUAACAAAGUAAUUUUACCGGAAGGUGAAGUUAGAUUUAACA
rnacentral:ncRNA from 1 species